rnacentral:rRNA from 1 species
GGGCGUUAAGUUGCAGGGUAUAGACCCGAAACCCGGUGAUCUAGCCAUGGGCAGGUUGAAGGUUGGGUAACACUAACUGGAGGACCGAACCGACUAAUGUUGAAAAAUUAGCGGAUGACCUGUGGCUGGGGGUGAAAGGCCAAUCAAACCGGGAGAUAGCUGGUUCUCCCCGAAAGCUAUUUAGGUAGCGCCUCGUGAAUUCAUCUCCGGGGGUAGAGCACUGUUUCGGCUAGGGGGCCAUCCCGGCUUACCAACCCGAUGCAAACUGCGAAUACCGGAGAAUGUUAUCACGGGAGACACACGGCGGGUGCUAACGUCCGUCGUGAAGAGGGAAACAACCCAGACCGCCAGCUAAGGUCCCAAAGUCAUGGUUAAGUGGGAAACGAUGUGGGAAGGCCCAGACAGCCAGGAUGUUGGCUUAGAAGCAGCCAUCAUUUAAAGAAAGCGUAAUAGCUCACUGGUCGAGUCGGCCUGCGCGGAAGAUGUAACGGGGCUAAACCAUGCACCGAAGCUGCGGCAGCGACGCUGAUGCGUUGUUGGGUAGGGGAGCGUUCUGUAAGCCUGCGAAGGUGGCCUGUGAGGGUUGCUGGAGGUAUCAGAAGUGCGAAUGCUGACAUAAGUAACGAUAAAGCGGGUGAAAAGCCCGCUCGCCGGAAGACCAAGGGUUCCUGUCCAACGUUAAUCGGGGCAGGGUGAGUCGACCCCUAAGGCGAGGCCGAAAGGCGUAGUCGAUGGGAAACGGGUUAAUAUUCCCGUACUUGGUGUUACUGCGAAGGGGGGACGGAGAAGGCUAUGUUGGCCGGGCGACGGUUGUCCCGGUUUAAGCGUGUAGGUGUGUGUUCCAGGUAAAUCCGGUUCACUUUAACACUGAGGCGUGAUGACGAGGCACUACGGUGCUGAAGCAACAAAUGCCCUGCUUCCAGGAAAAGCCUCUAAGCAUCAGGUAACAUCAAAUCGUACCCCAAACCGACACAGGUGGUCAGGUAGAGAAUACCAAGGCGCUUGAGAGAACUCGGGUGAAGGAACUAGGCAAAAUGGUGCCGUAACUUCGGGAGAAGGCACGCUGACACGUAGGUGAAGUGAUUUACUCAUGGAGCUGAAGUCAGUCGAAGAUACCAGCUGGCUGCAACUGUUUAUUAAAAACACAGCACUGUGCAAACACGAAAGUGGACGUAUACGGUGUGACGCCUGCCCGGUGCCGGAAGGUUAAUUGAUGGGGUCAGCGCAAGCGAAGCUCCUGAUCGAAGCCCCGGUAAACGGCGGCCGUAACUAUAACGGUCCUAAGGUAGCGAAAUUCCUUGUCGGGUAAGUUCCGACCUGCACGAAUGGCGUAAUGAUGGCCAGGCUGUCUCCACCCGAGACUCAGUGAAAUUGAACUCGCUGUGAAGAUGCAGUGUACCCGCGGCAAGACGGAAAGACCCCGUGAACCUUUACUAUAGCUUGACACUGAACAUUGAGCCUUGAUGUGUAGGAUAGGUGGGAGGCUUUGAAGUGUGGACGCCAGUCUGCAUGGAGCCGACCUUGAAAUACCACCCUUUAAUGUUUGAUGUUCUAACGUGGACCCGUGAUCCGGGUUGCGGACAGUGUCUGGUGGGUAGUUUGACUGGGGCGGUCUCCUCCUAAAGAGUAACGGAGGAGCACGAAGGUUGGCUAAUCCUGGUCGGACAUCAGGAGGUUAGUGCAAUGGCAUAAGCCAGCUUGACUGCGAGCGUGACGGCGCGAGCAGGUGCGAAAGCAGGUCAUAGUGAUCCGGUGGUUCUGAAUGGAAGGGCCAUCGCUCAACGGAUAAAAGGUACUCCGGGGAUAACAGGCUGAUACCGCCCAAGAGUUCAUAUCGACGGCGGUGUUUGGCACCUCGAUGUCGGCUCAUCACAUCCUGGGGCUGAAGUAGGUCCCAAGGGUAUGGCUGUUCGCCAUUUAAAGUGGUACGCGAGCUGGGUUUAGAACGUCGUGAGACAGUUCGGUCCCUAUCUGCCGUGGGCGCUGGAGAACUGAGGGGGGCUGCUCCUAGUACGAGAGGACCGGAGUGGACGCAUCACUGGUGUUCGGGUUGUCAUGCCAAUGGCACUGCCCGGUAGCUAAAUGCGGAAGAGAUAAGUGCUGAAAGCAUCUAAGCACGAAACUUGCCCCGAGAUGAGUUCUCCCUGAGACUU